GGGCGGUUAGUCUCAGUUGGUAGAGCACUGCCUUCACACGGCAGGGGUCACUGGUUCGAGUCCAGUACCGCCCA
rfam:Aquaspirillum sp. LM1, complete genome.